UACAGAGGGGGCAAGCGUUGUUCGGAAUUACUGGGCGUAAAGGGCGCGUAGGCGGCCUGCUAAGUCGAACGUGAAAUCCCCCGGGCUCAACCCGGGAACUGCGUCCGAUACUGGCAGGCUUGAAUUCGGGAGAGGGAUGCGGAAUUCCAGGUGUAGCGGUGAAAUGCGUAGAUAUCCGGAGGAACACCGGUGGCGAAGGCGGCUUCCUGGACCGACACUGACGCUGAGGCGCGAAAGCCAGGGGAGCAAACGGG
rnacentral:rRNA from 1 species